ACGGAAGGCAGCAGUGAGGAAUAUUGGUCAAUGGGCGGAAGCCUGGACCAGCCAAGUCGCGUGAAGGAUGAAGGUAUUAUGUAUUGUAAACUUCUUUAGCCAGGGGGCAAUAAGGCGUACGCGUACGCCGAUGAGAGUACCUGGAGAAUAAGGAUCGGCUAACUCCGUGCCAGCAGCCGCGGUAAUACGGAGGAUCCGAGCGUUAUCCGGAUUUAUUGGGUUUAAAGGGUGCGCAGGCGGCUUUCUAAGUCAGUGGUUAAAUCGUGACGCUCAACGUCAUCACGCCAUUGAUACUGGAGAGCUUGAUUGCGGUCGAGGUUUGCGGAAUUCGUCGUGUAGCGGUGAAAUGCAUAGAUAUGACGAAGAACACCGAUUGCGUAGGCAGCAGACCAGGCCGUAAAUGACGCUCAUGCACGAAAGUGCGGGGAUCGAACAGGAUUAGAUACCCUGGUA
rnacentral:rRNA from 1 species